rnacentral:misc_RNA from 1 species
UUAACUAUUAUAUAGUACUCAGACAUUACUAAACAAACGAGUUUGGGUCCUCUGGCAGGCGCAGUCAGCCGGAGCCGACGCCUCGAGAGGCGGCCUGCCAAAGCAACAAAGGUAUGUAUACACGGUUUGAGAAUUACCCAUUUCAAAAAACGGGGCGUUCUUUAAUGAUCCUUCCGCAGGUUCACCUACGGAAA